GACGAACGCUGGCGGCGUGCUUAACACAUGCAAGUCGAACGGAAAGGCCCUGCUUUUGUGGGGUGCUCGAGUGGCGAACGGGUGAGUAACACGUGAGUAACCUGCCCCUGACUUUGGGAUAACUUCAGGAAACUGGGGCUAAUACCGGAUAGGAGCUCCUGCUGCAUGGUGGGGGUUGGAAAGUUUCGGCGGUUGGGGAUGGACUCGCGGCUUAUCAGCUUGUUGGUGGGGUAGUGGCUUACCAAGGCUUUGACGGGUAGCCGGCCUGAGAGGGUGACCGGCCACAUUGGGACUGAGAUACGGCACAGACUCGUACGGGAGGCAACAGUGGGGAAUAGUGCACUGUGGGCGGAAGCCUGAUGCAGCCACGCCACGUGCGGGAUGACGGCCUUCGGGUUGUAAUCCGCUUUCGCCUGUGACGAAGCGUGAGUGACGGUAAUGGGUAAAGAAGCACCGGCUAACUACGUG
rnacentral:rRNA from 1 species